rnacentral:rRNA from 1 species
AAUAGAUACCCGGGUAGUCCACGCCCUAAACGAUGUCAACUGGUUGUCGGGCCUUCAUUGGCUUGGUAACGUAGCUAACGCGUGAAGUUGACCGCCUGGGGAGUACGGUCGCAAGAUUAAAACUCAAAGGAAUUGACGGGGACCCGCACAAGCGGUGGAUGAUGUGGAUUAAUUCGAUGCAACGCGAAAAACCUUACCUACCCUUGACAUGUAUGGAAUCCUGCUGAGAGGUGGGAGUGCCCGAAAGGGAGCCAUAACACAGGUGCUGCAUGGCUGUCGUCAGCUCGUGUCGUGAGAUGUUGGGUUAAGUCCCGCAACGAGCGCAACCCUUGUCCCUAGUUGCUACGCAAGAGCACUCCAGGGAGACUGCCGGUGACAAACCGGAGGAAGGUGGGGAUGACGUCAAGUCCUCAUGGCCCUUAUGGGUAGGGCUUCACACGUCAUACAAUGGUCGGAACAGAGGGUCGCCAAGCCGCGAGGUGGAGCCAAUCCCAGAAAACCGAUCGUAGUCCGGAUCGCACUCUGCAACUC